CAGCAGUCGCCGCGGGAAUACAGAGGGUGCGAGCGUUAAUCGGAUUUACUGGGCGUAAAGCGUGCGUAGGCGGCUUUUUAAGUCGGAUGUGAAAUCCCUGAGCUUAACUUAGGAAUUGCAUUCGAUACUGGGAAGCUAGAGUAUGGGAGAGGAUGGUAGAAUUCCAGGUGUAGCGGUGAAAUGCGUAGAGAUCUGGAGGAAUACCGAUGGCGAAGGCAGCCAUCUGGCCUAAUACUGACGCUGAGGUACGAAAGCAUGGGGAGCAAACAGGAUUAGAUACCCCCGUAGUCCCUGUCUCUUAUAC
rnacentral:rRNA from 1 species